GUCUUCACCACCGGGCGGGGGCACUGAAUGUUUGGCGCCAUGAAUGGAUGUAUUUGCUCGGAAGUGAGAUAUGGUUGGGUCUCGAGUAAAGAUUAAACCUCUUAAACCGGGGUUGCUCGCUUUAUAUGUAGCUAAUGGGUAGUGAUAUGUUUUUUUUUCUCUUGUUGCUGUUUGUUUGGUCUUUUACCAGAUAAGUAUAAUUCAUAAGCUACUCUCAUGGAAUGAGUAUCAAUUUUAUGUAUUCUCAGACUAUUCUGACAUCCAUUCUGUUAGGUUAAAAAAAGGACUACUUUGUACAGAUGACCCCUCUCCUGUAUUCUGUGAAACUGUGAUAGUUAUGAGAUGUAUGGAUGGUCUUGGAUCAAUCCUCUUUUUUUGUUAGACAUGUAAUAACAGGCUGUAGCAAGUUUUCCUCUCAGGUAAGCUUAUUAGUUGUGUGUGUUUUAACUUUUUUCUAUUUUCCUCUUGUUUAUAGACAAAUAAUGUACAGUUCUUCUCUAGCACUGAUAAACAUUGUGACAGGGAAAUAGCUGUCGACUCGUUUAGUUGCAGAGAGGGAGAUCCUAGCCUGCACAACAUUCUAAAUUACAAUUCCAUUACAGGAGAAACCACCUUGGUACAAUUCCAUUACUGACUAAAUUACAUUACAAAACAUAUCAUCAUCUUGUACCCUACGCAGAAGUGAUGACGUAGAAUGGUGGUACAGCAUGCAUCCUACGCAGUAGAGGCAGCGACGUCGGCGGUGUCAGUGAACCACGGGCACUGGAGCGCCACGGCCGCCGGCAGACGCUCGCUGGGGUCGCAUGUGAGGAGCCCGUCUAAAACCUCGAAUCCGUCGCGCGACAGGCGCUCCUCCGGGAACAGCGCGCGUAGCACGCUGUCGCCUCGGCGUGUCGGCGGCAUCUGCCCCGCGGCGGCGAGCGGGAGCGGCGUGCGCGUGAAUCCUACACACGCGCCGCCGAGCACGCGGAAGAUUCGGAAGAGCUGGUCGACCACGUUUUGUCCCGGGAACAGCGGUUCGCCGGCGAGCAGCUCGGCCAUGACGCAGCCGACCGACCAGGCGUCCACGAGCUCGUCGUAGUCCGGCCUCCCCAGGAGCAUCUCGGGAGCCAUGUACCAGCGCGUGCCGGCCCGGCCGGGCGGCGGCGGCGCGCUGGCCAUGGACACGGCCAGCCCGAGGUCGCAUAUCUUCACCGCGCCCUCGCCGCCGACGAGGACGUUCCCGGGCUUGAUGUCCCGGUGGACGAUGCCGCGCUCGUGCAUCCUCCCGGCGCCGCUCAGGAGCUGCCGCAUGACGCGGCGCGUCUCCUCCUCCGUGAACGGCCGGCGGCGAGCGCGCAGGACGUGGGCGAGGCUCGGGCCGACGUGCUCCAGGACGAGGCUGCACUGCCCGCUGCGGGGGUCCCGCGCGAUGCCGUGCAAGCCGACGACCGAGGGGUGGCCGCGGCACGCCGCGAGGUAGCACGCCUCGCGCAGCAGGCCGCGGUGGAGCGCGUGUGCACGGUGGUGCCUCCUCUUGCCGCCGUCGGGUGAGCGGACCAGGAACUUGAGGGCGACGUCGUCUCCGGUGGCGCGGUGGCGCGCCUUGACGACGACGCCGAAGCCGCCCGCCCCGAGCACGCGCGUCAGCUGGUAGUCCUCGGUGCUCCCGAUGCGCCGUCUCUUGCGGGAGCCCGCGGCGUGGUCGUCGAUCAUGGCGCCAAUGGCGGCUUCCGCUGCGGCAGCUCGCGACAUGAUGGCCAUGGAUGUGGGUGCUACUUGCUGGUGCGUGUUGGAAUAUCUGUAGUUAUUGUGUACAGGAGGUGCGGCACAUGCAAACCGAUUGCCGUUCGAAGAUGUUUCCGUGGCGCGCGCGCAACUCUCAACGCGCUUCCGACUGCUGCUCUGAUCGACGAAUGGCACUCGGUUUGCUCACCGCCUCAUCGGAAGAUCUAUAUAAACUUGAUCUUCGAUGACCUCGUUGUACGCGAUCGCUUUCUUCCUCCCCCUCCACUUCUCCAUCCAAAGAUCGAUCACAGCUCGCCAGAAACCCGCUUCCAUGGCCGCGCAGACGAGCGCGCUCCGCCGGUGGAAGCGCUUCUUCGGCGUCUUCGACUCCGUCGACGCGGCCAUCGAGGCCGCCGCCCCUGACAUGUGCCGCGACGAGCUCCGGCGCGCCAGGGGCAACAUCUUUGAAGGGCUCUGCAACACCGCGGACGACGGCAAGGCGGAGAAGCUCUGCGGGGUUCUUGACGGCUUGAUGGCAGAGUCCCUAGAGACGCUGCGGUUGACUCCGGUGACGCCCAAGGUGCUCGCCACCACGGACCUCGCCAAGGCCGUCCGUGCGCUGCGGAAGCACGAGUCCGAGCGGGUCCGCCUCCUCGCCAGGGGCAUCGUGAGCGGGUGGAGGGCGUCCGCCCUGGAAAACUUCGCCGGAGAGCCGGACAACUUCAACGCGCCUCAGCCGAAGGAGACCGUGGAGCAGCAGCAUGUCGGCGCAACGACGACGGAGCCGCCUUCCUCCAAGGAGAUCGUCGGUCACGACCAGCAGCAUGCCUCGGCCGAUCUUGACUCGAAGAAGAAGAAGGCGGUGGAGAUCAGCAGCAAGGCGUCCGAUCUCGUCGGUGGCAUCAACAUGGCGAAGCCUGAGGAGGUCACCGUCUGUCAGCGUGUCAAUGUCUCGGCCGAUCCAGACGCGAAGGCAAUGGAGGCCGCGAAGCGCAAACUCCAUGAGAGGUACCAGCAAGCAUCGGAUGCCAAGCGGCAGCGCCGGGUACAACUCGUGGAGGCGCCGGAGAUGCUGAAGCAGAGGCGGGAGAGAAGCCUGGCGGGUUGCGCCACCUCAAUGCUCAGGAAAACGUUCUCCGUUGGUCGCCAUCACGCAGCUUCACAGGGUUUAGCAGGCUAGGCACUACUACUAGGCAGAGUUGAACUGGUGAUCUGUGUCAUCUUGCUCAUCUUGUAGGAGUUACAUAUUAACAGAAGAAACCAUUUCUCUUCUGUAACUGCAUACUACUCGCUGAUCAUGAAUGCAGAUUUCAUUGGUUUUCUUACUAUUCUUCAUUUCUAACUUUGAUUUUUUCCUGGCUUUCAUAGUUUUUCUUUUCGUUUUUUCAAUUUUUACUCGGUUUUAUUGUUUUGCACUGUUUUCUUCGGUUUUUCAUUCUUUUGUUAUUGUUUUCUUUGCUUUUCUACUUGCUUUUCUUCAUUUUUCUUUGUUUUUAUCGGUUUUCACUAUUUUUAUCAUUCUUUUUUGCACUCGUUUCUUCUGUUUAUUUUUUGUUUUCUUUAGUUUCUUUUUGGGUUUAAUUUUCUUCUUUGUUUGUUUUGGUUUUGAUUCUAUAUUUUUCGUAUACGUCAAGAAUUUUUUUCAAAUACAAGUUGAACAUUUUUUUAAUAUACAGUCAAAAAUUUCUCCGUACAUAUUUCUUAGUAUUUUGAAAUGCUUUAUUAACGUUUUACAAAUACAAGAUUAACAUUUUUAUAUUACAUGGUCAAUAUUUUUUCCAUACACAUUUUAAAAUAUAUCAAAUGCUUGAUUAUCAUUUUCCAAAUACAGGAUUAGCAUUUUGUUAAUACACCGCCAACAUUUUGUCUAUACACAUUUAACAUUUUUUAAAUUCUUGAUUAGAAUUUUUUAAAUGCAAUAUUAACAAUUUUUUAACACAUGGUCAACAUUUUUUCUAUAUACAUUUAACAUUUUCCCAAUGGUUGAUUAACAUUUACUUGCUUAUCAAUAUUUUCCAAUGCUUCAUUACACUUUUUGCAAUACAAUAUUAAUUCUUUUAAUACACGGUCUUCAUUUUUAUACACAUUUAAGGUUUUUCCAAAUGCUUGAUUUUUUUCUCAAAUGCAGGAUUAACAUUUUUANNNNNNNNNNNNNNNNNNNNNNNNNNNNNNNNNNNNNNNNNNNNNNNNNNNNNNNNNNNNNNNNNNNNNNNNNNNNNNNNNNNNNNNNNNNNNNNNNNNNNNNNNNNNNNNNNNNNNNNNNNNNNNNNNNNNNNNNNNNNNNNNNNNNNNNNNNNNNNNNNNNNNNNNNNNNNNNNNNNNNNNNNNNNNNNNNNNNNNNNNNNNNNNNNNNNNNNNNNNNNNNNNNNNNNNNNNNNNNNNNNNNNNNNNNNNNNNNNNNNNNNNNNNNNNNNNNNNNNNNNNNNNNNNNNNNNNNNNNNNNNNNNNNNNNNNNNNNNNNNNNNNNNNNNNNNNNNNNNNNNNNNNNNNNNNNNNNNNNNNNNNNNNNNNNNNNNNNNNNNNNNNNNNNNNNNNNNNNNNNNNNNNNNNNNNNNNNNNNNNNNNNNNNNNNUACCCAUUUAACAUAUUUCAUAUGCUUGUUUAACAUAUUUCCAAAUGUUCAAUUAAUUUUUUUUAAUACACGAUCAACUUAUUCAUACACAUUGUAUAUAUUUUAAUAUAUUUUUAUUAUACAUAAAGAAAUGUUUUUUAUGCACAUUUAACUUUUUCAAAUGCUUGAUUGACAUUUUUUAAAUGUUUUUAUGUAAAGUGCUUUUUGUAAUUUAUAUAUUUAGAAUUUUCUGGAAAUCAUAAUAAAUAAACGGAAGAAAGCACCAAUAUGCACACUGCAAGAUUCGAUCAUGCGCUACAUUAAUCGAGACUGCCGUGUGUUUUAUUUAAGACAUCAAGCAGUGUGCUUUAUAUAAACUCUGGAAAUCUAAAUAAAUAAACGGAAGAAAGCACCAAUAGCCACCCCAAUUGAAGCUGCUGAAGUGGAUAAGCUCAUGGCAGCAGGAGCCCCUUCCUGCAUCUCAUAAGAGAUACCACACUGAAAAAACCUAACAACAACAUAAUUCCUCCACCUGUGGUAGAGGUUAUACAACAGUUUCCUGAAGUUUUUCAAGAGCCAAUGGGUCUUCCUCCCAAGAGAUCACAUGACCAUAAGAUCCCAUUGAUGGAACAGGCAAAACCACCUAAUUCUAGGCCUUACAGAGUGCCUCAUAUGCAAAGAAAUGAGUUAGAGAGGCAAAUUGAUGGUAUGCUCAGAGAUAAGAUUAUAAGAGCUAGUGAAAGUCCCUACUCCUCCCCAGCAAUACUAGUCAUGAAAAAAGAUGGCACUUGGAGAAUGUGCAUUGACUAUAGAAAGUUGAAUGCUGCUACUGUCAAAAAUAAAUUUCCAAUUCCUGUCAUUGAGGAUUUACUUGAUGAACUACAUGGAGCAACUUACUUCACCAAGUUAGACUUGAGAUCAGGCUACCAUCAAGUCAGGAUGAGUGAAGAAGAUAUACCCAAAACAACUUUCAAAACUUACUUUGGCCACUAUGAGUUUUUGGUAAUGCCCUUUGGCCUUGCUAAUGCACCUGGAACAUUUCAAGCACUAAUGAAUAGUAUCUUUGGGCCUUAUCUCAGAAAGUUUGUGUUGGUCUUCUUUAACGACAUCUUAAUCUUCAGUAAGUCACUAUCUGAACACAUAGCCCACUUGCAAAUAGUGUUGCAGCUGCUCAAGGAACACCAGCUCUUUGCAAAAAUGUCCAAAUGUGUGUUUGGAGUCCAACAGGUAGAGUAUCUGGGCCACAUAAUCACUGGGGAAGGUGUUUGUAACAUCCCCAACAUCACACUACAGUAAUCUCCCCCUAAUGAAGGUCAUGUCAUCAUGAUCAUCAUGCCAAAAUGCCACUUGUCCAAAAUAUGCUUCAAAUUCAAAUUCAAAUUGCAUGUCAAAUAUUUGCUUCCUCUUUCAUGCAAAUAAAAUAGUUCAUCCUAUGGACAAUAAUCCCUAGAUAUUUUUCAUAUUGAAACCAACAUUUUUUUAUUCCCAAAUUGCCCCUGGGAAUUUAUUAUCUAGUCCAGCAGUAUUUAAGAUGUCCUUUUCAAUUUCUAAAAUUUAUUAGACAACUCCUUUUGACCCCAAACUUUCUGUUCCAUCUCAAGGUAUUGUGUUAGUUUUAUGUGCCAAGUUUUGCUCAAAACAAAACUCAUUUGGUACUAAAAGAAAAAUGCAAACAGAGCAAAUAAAAGAAAACAAAAAGAAGAAAUAGAAAAGGCCCUAGCUACUACUGUGCACUUGUAGCCCAUUGCUACAGUGCACAGCCCAACCCACUUCCCUGUCCCCCCUUCCUUUCCCUGUUCACCUCAUGUGUUGGCCGCAGCGCGCCCGCACACGCCGCCGAUGGACACACGACGUCCAUCCGCCGCUUCCCGACGCCCUCAAGUUGCCGGCGACCCCCUCCCUGGCACUAACCCUAACCCUAGCGCCCAUCAGAUCCCCCUCCCCACCUCGCUCACUCUCCCCUCGCUCCCUCUCUGCUUUCCCCUCGCCCGAGCGCCGCCAUGGCACCGCCGCCGUAACGCACGCGGCCCCCGCCACCACCUCGCCUGGCCCCCGCGCCAAGAAGUAUGACCUUGACCUCCUCUUCCUCCCCGACGAAUCACCCGAGCAGGAGCUGUUGGGGAAUGUAGUAAUUUCAAAAAAAUUCCUACGCACACGCAAGAUCAUGGUGAUGCAUAGCAACGAGAGGGGAGAGUGUGAUCUAUGUACCCUUGUAGACCGACAGCGGAAGCGUUAGCACAACGCGGUUGAUGUAGUCGUACGUCUUCAUGGCCCGACCGAUCAAGCACCGAAACUACGGCACCUUCGAGUUUUAGCACACGUUCAGCUCGAUGACGAUCCCCAGACUCCGAUCCAGCAAAGUGUCGGGGAAGAGUUCCGUCAGCACGACGGCGUGGUGACGAUCUUGACGUACUAUCGUCGCAGGGCUUCCCCUAAGCACCGCUACAAUAUUAUCGAGGAUUAUGGUGGAAGGGGGCACCGCACACGGCUAAGAAUAUGAUCACGUGGAUCAACUUGUGUCUAUGGGGUGCCCCUUGCCUCCGUAUAUAAAGGAUCCAAGGGGGGGGGGUGCGGCCGGCCCUAGUAGGAGGCGCGCAGGAGGAGUCCUACUCCUACCGGGAGUAGGACUCCCCUUCCUUUCCUUGUCCAAGUAGGAGAGGGGGAAGGAAGGGAAAGAGGAGAGGAAGGAAAGGGGGGCGCCGCCCCUCCCUCCUUGUCCAAUUCGGACUAGGGGGAGAGGGGGCACGCGGCCUGCCCUGGCAGCCCCUCCUCUUCUCCACUUUAGGCCCAUGGGGCCCAUUAACCCCCCGGGGGGUUCCGGUAACCCCCCGGUGCUCCGGUUUUAUCCGAAACUUCCCCGGAACACUUCCGGUGUCCGAAUAUAGCCGUCCAAUAUAUCAAUCUUUAUGUCUCGACCAUUUCGAGACUCCUCGUCAUGUCCGUGAUCACAUCCGGGACUCCGAACUAACUUCGGUACAUCAAAACUCAUAAACUCAUAAUAUAACUGCCAUCGAAACCUUAAGCGUGCGGACCCUACGGGUUCGAGAACAAUGUAGACAUGACCGAGACACGUCUCCGGUCAAUAACCAAUAGCAAAACCUGGAUGUUCAUAUUGGAUUCUACAUAUUCUACGAAGAUCUUUAUCGGUCAGACCACAUAACAACAUACGUUGUUCCCUUUGUCAUCGGUAUGUUACUUGCCCGAGAUUCGAUCGUCGGUAUCUCAAUACCUAGUUCAAUCUCGUUACCGGCAAGUCUCUUUACUCGUUCCGUAAUACAUCAUCUCGCAACUAACUCAUUAGUUGCAAUGCUUGCAAGGCUUAUGUGAUGUGCAUUACCGAGAGGGCCCAGAGAUACCUCUUCGACAAUCGGAGUGACAAAUCCUAAUCUCGAAAUACGCCAACCCAACAUGUACCUUUGGAGACACCUGUAGAGUACCUUUAUAAUCACCCAUUUACGUUGUGACGUUUGGUAGCACACAAAGUGUUCCUCCGGCAAACGGGAGUUGCAUAAUCUCAUAGUCAUAGGAACAUGUAUAAGUCAUGAAGAAAGCAAUAGCAACAUACUAAACGAUCGGGUGCUAAGCUAAUGGAAUGGGUCAUGUCAAUCAGAUCAUUCACCUAAUGAUGUGAUCCCGCUAAUCAAAUAAAAACUCUUUGUUCAUGGUUAGGAAACAUAACCAUCUUUGAUUAACGAGCUAGUCAAGUAGAGGCAUACUAGUGACACUCUGUUUGUCUAUGUAUUCACACAUGUAUUAUGUUUCCGGUUAAUACAAUUCUAGCAUGAAUAAUAAACAUUUAUCAUGAUAUAAGGAAAUAAAUAAUAACUUUAUUAUUGCCUCUAGGGCAUAUUUCCUUCAGUCUCCCACUUGCACUAGAGUCAAUAAUCUAGAUUACACAGUAAUGAUUCUAACACCCAUGGAGCCUUGGUGCUGAUCAUGUUUUGCUCGUGGAAGAGGCUUAGUCAACGGGUCUGCAACAUUCAGAUCCGUAUGUAUCUUGCAAAUCUCUAUGUCUCCCACCUGGACUAGAUCCCGGAUGGAAUUGAAGCGUCUCUUGAUGUGCUUGGUUCUGUUGUGAAAUCUGAAUUCCUUUGCCAAGGCAAUUGCACCAGUAUUGUCACAAAAGAUUUUCAUUGGACCCGAUGCACUAGGUAUGACACCUAGAUCGGAUAUGAACUCCUUCAUUCAGACUCCUUCAUUUGCUGCUUCCGAAGCAGCUAUGUACUCCGCUUCACAUGUAGAUCCCGCCACAACGCUUUGUUUAGAACUGCACCAACUGACAGCUCCACCGUUUAAUGUAAACACGUAUCCGGUUUGCGAUUUAGAAUCGUCCAGAUCAGUGUCAAAGCUUGCAUCAACGUAACCUUUUACAAUGAGCUCUUUGUCACCUCCAUAUUGAGAAACAUAUCCUUAGUCCUUUUCAGGUAUUUCAGGAUGUUCUUGACCGCUAUCCAGUGAUCCACUCCUGGAUCACUUUGGUACCUCCCUGCUAGACUUAUAGCAAGGCACACAUCAGGUCUGGUACACAGUAUUGCAUACAUGAUAGAUCCUAUGGCUGAAGCAUAGGGAACAUCUUUCAUUUUCUCUCUAUCUUCUGCAGUGGUCGGGCAUUGAGUCUUACUCAACUUCACACCUUGUAACAUAGGCAAGAACCCUUUCUUUGUUUGAUCCAUUUUGAACUUCUUCAAAACUUUGUCAAGGUAUGUGCUUUGUGAAAGUCCAAUUAAGCGUCUUGAUCUAUCUCUAUAGAUCUUAAUGCCUAAUAUGUAAGCAGCUUCACCGAGGUCUUUCAUUGAAAACUCUUAUUCAAGUAUCCCUUUAUGCUUCCAGAAAUUCUAUAUCAUUUCCAAUUAGUAAUAUAUCAUCCACAUAUAAUAUCAGAAAUGCUACAGAGCUCCCACUCACUUUCUUGUAAAUACAGGCUUCUCCAAAAGUCUGUAUAAAACCAAAUGCUUUGAUCACACUAUCAAAGCGUUUAUUCCAACUCCGAGAGGCUUGCACCAGUCCAUAAAUGGAUCGCUGGAGCUUGCACACUUUGUUAGCUCCCUUUGGAUCGACAAAACCUUCUGGUUGCAUCAUAUACAACUCUUCUUCCAGAAAUCCAUUCAGGAAUGCAGUUUUGACAUCCAUCUGCCAAAUUUCAUAAUCAUAAAAUGCGGCAAUUGCUAACAUGAUUCGGACAGACUUAAGCAUCGCUACGGGUGAGAAGGUCUCAUCGUAGUCAAUCCCUUGAACUUGUCGAAAACCUUUUGCGACAAGUCGAGCUUUGUAGACAGUAAUAUUACUGUCAGCGUCAGUCUUCUUCUUGAAGAUCCAUUUAUUCUCAGUUGCUUGCCGAUCAUCGGGCAAGUCAACCAAAGUCCAUACUUUGUUCUCAUACAUGGAUCCCAUCUCAGAUUUCAUUGCUUCAAGCCAUUUUGCGGAAUCUGGGCUCACCAUCGCUUCUUCAUAGUUCGUAGGUUCAUCAUGAUCUAGUAGCAUGACUUCCAGAACAGGAUUACCGUACCACUCUGGCGCGGAUCUCACUCUGGUUGAUCUACGAGGUUCAGUAGUAUCUUGUUAUGAAGUUUCAUGAUCAUCAUCAUUAGCUUCCUCAUUAACUGGUGUAGGUGUCACAGAAACAAUUUUCUGUGAUGCACUACUUUCUAAUAAGGGAGCAGGUACAGUUACCUCGUCAAGUUCUACUUUCCUCCCACUCACUUCUUUCGAGAGAAACUCCUUCUCUAGAAAGUUUCCGAACUUAGCAACAAAAGUCUUGCCUUCGGAUCUGUGAUAGAAGGUGUGUCCAAUAGUCUCCUUUGGAUAUCCUAUGAAGACACAUUUCUCCGAUUUGGGUUCAAGCUUAUCAGGUUGAAGCUUUUUCACAUAAGCAUCGCAACCCCAAACUUUUAGAAACGACAACUUUGGUUUCUUGCCAAACCAUAGUUCAUAAGGCGUCGUCUCAACGGAUUUUGAUGGUGCCCUAUUUAACGUGAAUGCGGUCGUCUCCAAAGCAUAACCCCAAAACGAUAGCGGUAAAUCAGUAAGAGACAUCAUAGAUCGCACCAUAUCUAGUAAAGUACGAUUACGACGUUCGGACACACCAUUACGCUGUGGUGUUCCGGGUGGCGUGAGUUGUGAAACUAUUCCGCAUUGUUUCAAAUGUACACCAAACUCGUAACUCAAAUAUUCUCCUCCACGAUCAAAUCGUAGAAACUUUAUUUUCUUGUUAUGAUGAUUUUCAACUUCACUCUGAAAUUCUUUGAACUUUUCAAACGUUUCAGACUUAUGUUUCAUUAAGUAGAUAUACCCAUAUCUGCUUAAGUCAUCUGUGAAGGUGAGAAAAUAACGAUAUCCUCCACGAGCCUCAAUGUUCAUCGAACCACAUACAUCUGUAUGUAUGAUUUCCAACAAAUCUGUUGCUCUCUCCAUAGUACCGGAGAACGGUGUUUUAGUCAUCUUGCCCAUGAGGCACGGUUCGCAAGUACCAAGUGAUUCAUAAUCAAGUGGUUCCAAAAGUCCAUCAGUAUGGAGUUUCUUCAUGCGCUUUACACCGAUAUGACCUAAACGGCAGUGCCACACAUAAGUUGCACUAUCAUUAUCAACUCUGCAUCUUUUGGCUUCAACACUAUGAAUAUGUGUGUCACUACUAUCGAGAUUCAAUAAAAAUAGACCACUCUUUAAGGGUGCAUGACCAUAAAAGAUAUUACUCAUAUAAAUAGAACAACCAUUAUUCUCAGAUUUAAAUGAAUAACCGUCUCGCAUCAAACAAGAUCCAGAUAUAAUGUUCAUGCUUAACGCUGGCACCAAAUAACAAUUAUUUAGGUCUAAUAUUAAUCCCGAAGGUAGAUGUAGAGGUAGCGUGCCGACUGCGAUCACAUCGACUUUGGAACCGUUUCCCACACGCAUCGUCACCUCGUCCUUAGCCAAUCUUCGCUUAAUCCGUAGUCCCUGUUUCGAUUUGCAAAUAUUAGCAACAGAACCAGUAUCAAAUACCCAGGUGCUACUGCGAGCAUUAGUAAGGUACACAUCAAUAACAUGUAUAUCACAUACACCUUUGUUCACCUUGCCAUCCUUCUUUCCGCCAAAUACUUGGGGCAGUUCCGCUUCCAGUGACCAGUCUGCUUGCAGUAGAAGCACUCAGUUUCAGGCUUAGAUCCAGGUUUGGGUUUCUUCUCUUGAGUAGCAACUUGUUUGCUGUUCUUUUUGAAGUUCCCCUUCUUCUUCCCUUUGCCCUUUUUCUUGAAACUAGUGGUCUUGUUGACCAUCAACACUUGAUGCUCCUUCUUGAUUUCUACCUCCGCAGCUUUCAGCAUUGCGAAGAGCUCGGGAAUAGUCUUAUUCAUCCCUUGCAUAUUAUAGUUCAUCACGAAGCUCUUGUAGCUUGGUGGCAGUGAUUGGAGAAUUCUGUCAAUGACGCAAUCAUCUGGAAGAUUUACUCCCAAUUGAAUCAAGUGAUUAUUAUACCCAGACAUUUUGAGUAUGUGCUCACUGACAGAACUGUUCUCCUCCAUCUUGCAGCUAUAGAACUUAUUGGAGACUUCAUAUCUCUCAAUCCGGGCAUUUGCUUGAAAUAUUAACUUCAACUCCUGGAACAUCUCAUAUGCUCCAUGACGUUCAAAACGUCGUUGAGGUCCCGAUUCUAAGCCGUAAAGCAUGGCACACUGAACUAUCAAGUAGUCAUUAGCUUUGCUCUGCCAGACGUUCAUAACAUCUGGUGUUGCUCCAGUAGCAGGCCUGGCACCCAGCGGUGCUUCCAGGACGUAAUUCUUCUGUGCAGCAAUGAGGAUAAUCCUCAAGUUACGGACCCAGUCCGUGUAAUUGCUACCAUCAUCUUUCAACUUUGCUUUCUCAAGGAACGCAUUAAAAUUCAAUGGAACAACAACACGAGCCAUCUAUCUACAAUCAAGUAUAAACAAGCAAGAUACUAUCAGGUACUAAGUUUCAUGAUAAAUUUAGGUUCAAUUAAUUUACUUAAAGAACUCCCACUUAGAUAGACAUCCCUCUAAUCCUCUAAGUGAUUACGUGAUCCAAAUCAACUAAACCAUGUCCGAUCAUCACGUGAGAUGGAGUAGUUUCAUUGGUGAACAUCACUAUGUUGAUCAUAUCUACUAUAUGAUUCACGCUCGACCUUUCGGUCUCCGUGUUCCGAGGCCAUAUAUGUAUAUGCUUGGCUCGUCAAGUAUAACCUGAGUAUUCCGCGUGUGCAACUGUUUUGCACCCAUUGUAUUUGAACGUAGAGCCUAUCACACCCGAUCAUCACGUGGUGUCUCAGCACGAAGAACUUUCGCAACGGUGCAUACUCAGGGAGAACACUUCUUGAUAAUUAGUGAGAGAUCAUCUUAUAAUGCUACCAUCAAACAAAGCAAGAUAAGAUGCAUAAAAGAUAAACAUCACAUGCAAUCAAUAUAAGUGAUAUGAUAUGGCCAUCAUCAUCUUGUGCUUGUGAUCUCCAUCUUUGAAGCACCGUCGUGAUCACCAUCGUCACCGGCGCGACACCUUGAUCUCCAUCGUAGCAUCGUUGUUGUCUCGCCAAUCUUAUGCUUCCACGACUAUCGCUACCGUUUAGUGAUAAAGUAAAGCAUUACAGCGCGAUUGCAUUGCAUACAAUAAAGCGACAACCAUAUGGCUCCUGCCAGUUGCCGAUAACUCGGUUACAAAACAUGAUCAUCUCAUACAAUAAAAUUUAGCAUCAUGUCUUGACCAUAUCACAUCACAACAUGCCCUGCAAAAACAAGUUAGACGUCCUCUACUUUGUUGUUGCAAGUUUUACGUGGCUGCUACGGGCUUAAGCAAGAACCAACCUUACCUAUGCAUCAAAACCACAACGAUAGUUUGUCAAGUUGGUGCUGUUUUAACCUUCGCAAGGACCGGGCGUAGCCACACUCGGUUCAACUAAAGUUGGAGAAACUGUCACCCGCAAGCCACCUAUGUGCAAAGCACGUCGGGAGAACAGGUCUCGCGUAAGCGUACGCGUAAUGUUGGUCCGGGCCGCUUCGUCCAACAAUACCGCCGAACCAAAGUAUGACAUGCUGUUAAGCAGUAUGACUUAUAUCGCCCACAACUCACUUGUGUUCUACUCGUGCAUAUAACAUCAACAUAUAAAACCUAGGCUCGGAUGCCAUUGUUGGGGAACGUAGUAAUUUCAAAAAAAUUCCUAUGCACACGCAAGAUCAUGGUGAUGCAUAGCAACAAGAGGGGAGAGUGUGAUCUACAUACCCUUGUAGACCGACAGCGGAAGCGUUAGCACAACGCGGUUGAUGUAGUCGUACGUCUUCACGGCCCGACCGAUCAAGCACCGAAACUACGGCACCUCCGAGUUUUAGCACACGUUCAGCUCGAUGACGAUCCCCGGACUCCGAUCCAGCAAAGUGUCGGGGAAGAGUUCCGUCAGCACGACGGCGUGGUGACGAUCUUGAUGUACUAUCGUCGUAGGGCUUCGCCUAAGCACCGCUACAAUAUUAUCGAGGAUUAUGGUGGAAGGGGGCACCGCACACGGCUAAGAAUAUGAUCACGUGGAUCAACUUGUGUCUAUGGGGUGCCCCUUGCCUCCGUAUAUAAAGGAUCCAAGGGGGGGUGCGGCCGGCCCUAGUAGGAGGUGCGCAGGAGGAGUCCUACUCCUAGCGGGAGUAGGACUCCCCUCCCUUUCCUUGUCCAAGUAGGAGAGGGGGAAGGAAGGGAGAGAGGAGAGGAAGGAAAGGGGGGGGCGCCCCUCCCUCCUUGUCCAAUUCGGACUAGGGGGAGAGGGGGCGCGCGGCCUGCCCUGGCAGCCCCUCCUCUUCUCCACUUUAUGCCCAUGAGGCCCAUUAACCCCCCGGGGGGUUCCGGUAAACCCCCGGUGCUCCGGUUUUAUCCGAAACUUCCCCGGAACACUUCCGGUGUCCGAAUAUAGCCGUCCAAUAUAUCAAUCUUUAUGUCUCGACCAUUUUGAGACUCCUCGUCAUGUCCGUGAUCACAUCCGGGACUCCGAACUAACUUCGGUACAUCAAAACUCAUAAACUCGUAAUAUAACUGUCAUCGAAACCUUAAGCGUGCGGACCCUACGGGUUCGAGAACAAUGUAGACAUGACCAAGACACGUCUAUGGUCAAUAACCAAUAGCGGAACCUGGAUGCUCAUAUUGGCUCCUACAUAUUCUACGAAGAUCUUUAUCGGUCAGACCGCAUAACAACAUACGUUGUUCCCUUUGUCAUCGGUAUGUUACUUGCCCGAGAUUCGAUCGUCGGUAUCUCAAUACCUAGUUCAAUCUCGUUACCGGCAAGUCUCUUUACUUGUUCCGUAAUACAUCAUCUCGCAACUAACUCAUUAGUUGCAAUGCUUGCAAGGCUUAUGUGAUGUGCAUUACCGAGAGGGCCCAGAGAUACCUCUCCGACAAUCGGAGUGACAAAUCCUAAUCUCGAAAUACGCCAACCCAACAUGUACCUUUGGAGACACCUGUAGAGUACAUUUAUAAUCACCCAUUUACGUUGUGACGUUUGGUAGCACACAAAGUGUUCCUCCGGCAAACGGGAGUUGCAUAAUCUCAUAGUCAUAGGAACAUGUAUAAGUCAUGAAGAAAGCAAUAACAACAUACUAAACGAUCGGGUGCUAAGCUAAUGGAAUGGGUCAUGUCAAUCAGAUCAUUCACCUAAUGAUGUGAUCCCGUUAAUCAAAUAACAACUCUUUGUUCAUGGUUAGGAAACAUAACCAUCUUUGAUUAACGAGCUAGUCAAGUAGAGGCAUACUAGUGACACUCUGUUUGUCUAUGUAUUCACACAUGUAUUAUGUUUCCGGUUAAUACAAUUCUAGCAUGAAUAAUAAACAUUUAUCAUGAUAUAAGGAAAUAAAUAAUAACUUUAUUAUUGCCUCUAGGGCAUAUUUCCUUCAGGAGCGCCUCUGCAUCGUCCCCCACGUCGCCGUCUUCAACCACGGCUACCUCACGCCGUUGCCGAAUCCGCCACACCGAGCCCUCCCCGAACCCAUUUGAGCACACUUACAGGGCCCGAUGAGCAGUCGCCGUCCUCUCCCCUCUCUCACUAGGCCGCCUCACUCUCGAGCUUGCUCGCCGCUACCAUCGUAGCUCGCGGCCGCCCCGCUCCAUAGCCGCCGUGGCCAUGCUUGCCGUCGAGAUCUGUCGAGCACGGCACCGUGCCCAGCACGCUUCGAGCAACCCAACGCACCUCGCCGCGCCUCCUCCCGUGCCUCUUAGUGCGAUCACCGUCCGCGCCCGAAGCCGCCAUCGCCGCCUUUGCUCAUUGCCGACGCCUCUGCCGGCCACCUUCGUCCGUUCCGACACUACAGAUCGACGUGCGGAGGAGUACCCGUUCGAACACAGGCAAAACUGCGUGAAACGGUGUCCCGUAGUACCAUCCCCAUCGUCGCCCGAGCGUGACCGCCGCCCUCGCUGCUCGUCGGCGCCGCUCCGGCCAACUCCGGCGAUGCCACCGCCCCCAGUUGAUGCGCCUUCGUGCGCUCGUUCGAACGCGCCUAGCCGCACCUCUCCCCGUGCUCCGUAGCAUUUUCCAGCGAAGUCCGGCGAUGCUCCACCGCGUUGAGCUCGCCGAAGCCAACUACGGCGCCGUCCGCCGACGUGGCUGGCCGGGCCCCACCCCUGGGUCGCUGCCGGCAGGCCCCACGGGCCCCGUUGACUAGGUUGGCCCAGUCAAUGUGCUGACUGGGCAGCCCAGUGGCGCUGACAUGCGGGACCCACCGCAUAAUUAUUUUACCUAAAACAUUUUUAUAAUUAAAAUCAAUUAGUUAGAUAAAUGAGGCACUGACAGGUGGGGUCCAGUAGUUAACUAACCUAAUUUUAGUUAGUUUAAACUUCUGUUAGUCCACUGUCUAUGACAGGUAGGACCCACUGGUCAGUUUGACCUGGUCAGCCGCUUUGUUGACUGCUGAGGUCAUCAUCACGUCAUGCUGACGUCAUAUUCCUUUUUUGUUAUUAUAAAUAAAUCUAGAAAAUGGUUUAAUCUUUGAAAAAUCAUAGAAAUUAAACCGUAACUCCGAUGAAAAUGUUUUCUACAUGAAAGUUUCUCAGAAAAAUCCAACAAAUCCGGAUACAUGGUCCGUUCAUCUAUCACAUGCCCCUAGCAUGCUGGACAUGGAACUUUUCCCCUCUUUUCCUGUGUCCGGAAUCCGCCUAACGCCGGGAAUUCAUCCUUGGAUGUUUAUCCCCUCUGUCUGCAACGUGUAGUACUAUGUUAGGUCAACCCUAAUUCUGCUUAUCGUCAUGUCAUGCUUAGUAUUGCAUAUGUUUGCUUGUAUUUAUUGUUUCUUCCCCCUCUUCUCUCCAGUAGCCCCCGAGACUGAUGCCGCCCCUGUGAUCGACUACGUCGACGACACUUCUUCUUUUUCAACAGAGCUUCUAGGCAAGCAAACCCCCCUUGAGCAUUCCGAUAUCGCCCAUUUCUUUCCCUCUCAUGCUUGCAUUAGAACUGCUACUGCUUUCUGUACGAUCCUACUCUGAUGCAUAGCCUGUUGUUGUUACCUGCUUUCAUACCUUACCUGCUUAUCCUAAACUGCUUAGUAUAGGUUGGUUAGUGAUCCAUCAGUGACCCCACCUUGUCCCAGUUGCCUCGCUUUAUGUUUGAUGACUCGAUCAACGUGAUCGACGUCCAGGCCCCGGCAUCGCACAUCACCCCCUAGUUGUACGACUCUGUAGAGUUACCAUCGAGUGCCGAGGGUGGAACCUCUUACAUCACUCAUGAUGAGAUCUCUGUAGUGUAGCUAUCCGGUCAUGGUCAUCGAGGGUGAUUUCCUCCUUAACUACUUAAGAUACGACAGUGGCGUGCAACCCCUCUAGUGUGAACCUCGAGGGUGAAUCCUCUUACGUUCACCUUGAUGAUUACAUCGAGUGGAAUUCACCGGGGGUGAUUCCUCGGGUUUUCCCCUUGGUGUUAGACACACAGUUACUAUGGUUACUAUGAUUUUGCACUGAGCCAUGCUACUAAAGACGGGUCGGCCCUGAGGGGUACCCGUGCGAGCUUAAUAACGAGUGAUGUGGAGUCGGGUUGACUUGGAAGGUGCCCGUGAGAUACUUACGAGGCGUGGCCGGGCAUUCUUAGCCCUUGCCGCAAGUACCCGAGACGGGGCAACGGGGUCACAUCUUUCGUGAGUCUCUGCUUGUUACCGCGUGCUCCUAAUCCACUACGAUUUGGAUAUUUGAUCCAAGGGCCUCUGGCCUGAUAGCACUAACCAUCACAUGGGCAUAGUAUGGGCAUUCUGCGUCGUAUACAUCAGCUGAAGCUUAAUAGACGUCAGCGACUGAGUGGCGCGCGCCGGGUUGAACUCCGUAAGCUGCUGCCUUCUUGAAGGAGGUAGCUAGGUCUGCUCACCGGCCGCCCACGCAACGUGCAUGAGUUCCCGGGGCGAUGGCCCAUGACCCCUGGGGGCAUAGGCUUAGUCCGACGUGUUGACCUCUCUAUUAAGCCUAGGUUGGUGUCAGGACCGGAUUUUCGGGAUAUUAAUUUCCCAAAAGCGGCCCUUGUGCUCACCAGCCCCAGGAUUACUGUUAGCUGACGAGACACCAACUUGUUACAGAAACUCCAAGCAAACUACAAAAUAUGUAGUACAAGACCAUUUUGGCCUAUGGGUACAACAAUUGGUUUCUAGUGGUUGAUGGCGGAAGCGGUUUGCGGAUCAUCGGCGUCUAUGGGACUCCAUUUCCCACAAGAACAGCUGACCAGGAUAACUCCUAUCUUCGCGAGGCUGCCAUCAUCAUUGUGUAGGUUCCAGGGUUGUCAUCACAACGCUCCUCUCCAUGCAAGAAAUCUGGCCAAGACAAUAGCCAGGGACAAGCCAGUGAGUACUUUGAAUGUACUCACAAACAUUAAGAACACAGGUAUAAUAUAGCCACUGAUAAUCAUGCUUUGAAAUAUUCUAUGAUUACUUCGUCAAUUAUGAAAUAAGGUUCAUGAUGCGCGCAAGCAGAUCAUUCAAAUAAAACAUGAGUAAACAAUCAGGGAGUAGAAAUGAAAAGCACCGAUCAGGUGUCUGAAGCGACACCUCGAAAGGAUAAUAAUAUGAAGCAUGCCUCAGUCGGGCGUCUGAGCGACACCACAGAAAGGGCUUAUAUAUAAAGGGAAUAACAAGCAUGCCACAGUUGGGCGUCUGUGCGACACCACAUAAAGGGCUUAUAAGUAAAUGAAAUAACAAGCAUGCCACAGUCGGGCGUCUGUGCGACACCACGUAAAGGGCUUAUAAGUAAAUGAAAUGACAAGCAUGCCACAGUCGGGCGUCUGUGCGACACCUCAUAAAGGACUUAUAUAAGAAUAAUCAAAGUGAAUAUCCAGGAGGUAGAACCGUCCCAGGGAUACUCAAUAAUUCAAAUAACAUAAAUGGUUAGUCCAUAAUAACAAUCAUAAUCAUCAUACGCCACAAGUCAUGAUCCAUGUUUUGGUUCAGCAGUUUUUCCUCCGAAGACCGACACUAAGACCGACACUUAACCCAUCCCAGACUAUAGUCCUUAACCAUGGACACGGCUAUCCGAAUAGGUAUAAUAUCUCUAUAGAGGGUAUACUCUUUACCCACGAGUAACGGAUUCCUUUAGCCCAUCGGGACUAAUUCCGUCUACGGUCUUUUAAUUGAAAACCCACCUAACCGCACACACCAGCCAAACUCACUGGUGUCUGGAAUCACCCUUGACACCCGUUAAGCAAAACUCUAAGUGGGGAGGCUACAACCUCAACUUAGCAUGGGAUCACAAAAUUUAUACCGCGCGCAAACUGGGGGAGCUACCCCCUUCGGCUACAACCAAAAACACCCAUGCCCCCGGACCAGGUGGCAUGCCUACCGGGGGCCUCCGGUAUCUUCCACCAUGGCCUCUCUGUACGGUGUGUGCUAGGAAAGGGGUUGACAACUUACUGAACCGUACCCUACCUGUGGCAGGAACGAGUGGUAGUAUGAAACAAGUAUGGGGGUUACCGGAACAAGACUCGAUCUAUGGUCGACUCGGGAGGUUUAAGUAUUUCUAGCAUGGUUAGUAUAACAAAUAUGUUUCAAACCAACAGACAGUAUCACUACUCAUCAUACCUCAUCCUGCCAUACCGGACACAACCGUCCCUUGGGGGAACCAGAGAUAAGCUCAUGUCUACCCAAGACAGAGACUUUCUCGGCUUCCUUCCGGUAGGCAUAAAAGGCAUGUGAAAAUGAUUACUAUCGCAACAUAUCAAGCUCCAAUAGCAUGAGAUCAUCAGUAUGCAAGUAUGAUCAUAUCCUCACAAACACAUAACGGAUACUCCGUGUCACGGUGGUGUUGUAACUGUAUCAAACAACACACGAUAAUAUUAUGCCUGAGUUCAGAAAUGCUUGCCUUCAAGUUGUGGAGAGGCAGGGUGCACUCAAAACUUUUGAAAGUUCCCUUCUUCCUCAUCCAAAAAUCCUAUUUUAAAUAAAUUUAAAUUAACACAUACUUUCACAAUAGUACAAAAAAAAGUUGUUUGAAUUUUUUUCAAAUAAAUAUGAAAAUAAACUAGACAAUAUUUGGGAAACAACAGAAAAAGAAUCAAGUCAUUUGGAUUUAUAUUUUAAAAGUUAUAGCCAGUCAAAGUUUAGUCAAAUUCUGUUUUUAAAAUAAAACAGAAAAAGAAAACGUUUUAAAUAGGUAUACGCCUUCGGGGCAGGGGAGACGUACUCGAGACUUUACGCUUCCACCGAUCCAGCGUGGACUAGCGCGUGGGUCACUGACAGUGGGUCCACGGGGCCCACUGGUCAGGUUUGACCAGUCGCCUCUCCCUCCUCUUCCUCUGCCCGAGUUGAGGCGGGACUCCGGCGAUCGAUGCCGGCGAACGACGGCUCCUCGAGGGCAUCCGAGGGCAGGGAUGGACCCGUAAGACCGGGGCGGUCCUCCCGGUGGUCGUUGGGUCGGCGGGGGUGGAGGGAGUCGCCGGCGGCGAGCUCCGCGGCGGAGGAGGCUUCGGGAGCAAUGUGGGUUUGGGCUACGGUGGUUCUCGAGCGAGUUUGAGGUGUUGGGUCGCUCCACGAGAUCGAGGGGGAGGGGAUGGUGGCAUUGGUUGGAUGGGGGAGGCUCUGGUCGCGUCGAGCGGAGCCGGAGGGUGGCGGCGGCCGAGCCUACCGGAGAUGGGGAAGACGACCUCCUCUCGUCAUUCUCUGGCUAUGGGGGGCACUUGGAGGAUGGUAUGAGGCUGCCUGAGGGCUUAGACGAGCUCGAGGGCCUCCUUUUAUAGUGCAACAAGGUCGGUUCCGACGGUGGCCGUGGAUAAGUUCGUCGGCGGCCGCCGUUCUGUAGGGGGCAGUGCGACGUGGCGGCGACGAGUGCUAGCGGACGGCCUUGCGGAUGAGGUCGGGCUGUUCCACAAGCGAGCUGGCGCGCUGGUGUGGCUUGGACGGUGCUGCCAUGGCCGGGGCCUGAUGCGGCCGUCAGCUAGCCGCCACGGCCGACCUGACGGCGGCGCUAUGGGGUGCCAGAGGUGGUCGGGGUGGCUUUGCGGUGUAGGAGGACAUGGGGCGCGCUGGCUUCGGUUGGCCAAGGGCCGGAACGGGCGCGGGGUGGGAGGCAGUGAGACGCGGCGGCUCGGUGCACGCGCGUGCAAAACGUGCGCUCUGGGCGCGCCCAGAGCACACACGCUAGGUGUUCGGCGAAAUUCCAAGUCAUGCCAGGGGACUCCAAUCCACAAGAGGUUAAGCAGGGAGGGGCUAUAGGCUAGGGCAAAGCUAUGUGACAUGCUGGUUAGGCAAGGCAAGCAAGUCCAGUGUGCAAACUAAAAACCAUGCCAAAACUGGCCAUGCACACCAGGUGUUUGCCAGAAUGCCAAUGGCAUCAAGGCAACUCUUGGGGUGGCCCAAAUCUCCAGAUUGGGGUCUCUUUAGAUGAUACAGAGGGUGGUGGGGUUAGUUUGCCAAAAGCUCAAACUUGUUAGUGCAAGUUUUGCAAAACUUCAGUUCUGGGCAGGAGGAAAAGGGCAUGUUUGCAUGCCUUUAAAAAUCCUCCAAUGAGUCCACUCUCCUGGACUUAAGGGUUUUGCAAGGAGUACUACAAGCAGGAGAAAGCUCAUGGUCACUAGAGCAAAAUUUAAUAGGGAUGCAGUAUAAAUCACCAAGCUGGACCAGAAUGAAAAAGAGGUUGAUUCACUCAAAUUUUUCAAAGAACAACAAUGGGUUUUUGCAUAAAGUUGAAUAAUAUACUCCUAUUAACAUCCCAUAAUUUUGGUGGAGGCUAGAAAUAAAUAUUUAAAGGGGUUGUAGUGCAAAAUUGCUCUCUGGGCCAGAUUUGAAAACUUGGUGUAGAGCUCGAAAUAUCCAAAGAAUGAAACAUAUUUUUGCAUAAAAGUGAUUUAAAAACAUCACAUGACCUCCCCAAAUUUUGGUGAAAAUUUUAAAUAAAUUUAUCAAGUGGUUGUAGUUCAAAAAGAGCUCCAAAACUAAUGAAAAAUCAUUUUAGGGAAUAAAGCUCAGAGAUGAAUAAUUAUGCAAGUAAAUCCCACUGAUAAUAGAAAUGUUUUUCUUGAAAGGGCAAACAAUUCCAAUAAUAUAUUUGGAAAGUUCUUCACUUGAGGUAAAAACUCCAUAAUAAUAAGGUAAAGAAAGGCCCUGAAAACAAAGGAAAAAUCCAGAAAAUAAAAGUUUAAAUUUCCUGGCAAAAUUUGUAAUCAAUAAAACAAGGGUAAAAUUUUUGGGGUGUCACAACACUACCCCCCUUAAGAAAAAAUCUCGUCCUCGAGAUUUGCUAAGGGUCGUUUUGAAAAUAUUGCUCCUAUCUGCUGAAACCAAACAGAUUACUCAUAACACAUACUUGGGUACAUCACAUAAGUUGCAACACAUAAAUAAACAUAGCUAUGACGUUUACAAUGAAAACGGUAAAAGGACAGAAUCCCGAGAAAACAUCUCUGGUACUGGGACACACUCUUCUUCUAUCGGGGGAAGCGGGUUGAUCAGUCGAUGAACGCGUCUCUCUUGGUCGGGUCUCAGUGGUCUGCCGAUGGCGAUCUGAGGAUUUAAAUCAGCGAGGCUGUGGAGAUAACCCAUCACUCGUUGGGUCAAACGCUCUUGAGUGAUGACAUACUGAACAAGGUUGGCCAGUACUGGGUCUCUCUCAAUUCGUCCACCGGGAAAAGAUGUCACUUCCCCCGGUGCUGCACGGCUCGGAAAGUAAUAAUACCCUCAUUCGCUGGCAUAGGGUACUGCGAGUCGAAGGCGAACAAGCGCUUCGUGUGCAGCCGCUUCUACGGCCAUCUGCGGAGUUGGCAUAGAUUUCCCCAGGAAGGAGACUUCCGUUGGGUCUUGAUUUGAGUUUAUAGGAGGGAUGUGCACUGCUGCCCAAUAUUUCGAGGUGGAUGAGGUGAUCCUCGACUUGCGCAGCUCGUACUGGGGUGGCUGGGUAGAACCCAUGGUACUGCAGGUAAAGUCCCACAAUAUUUUAACAAAGCUACCUGGGGUUGCAUCUGGGGUCCUCAGAUAAAUGCUAGGGCUCGGCAUGGCAAGAAAUGGUUGUGAGGGUGGUGCACAAGACGAGGGGUACUUGGCACGGUCACGAGGUGGCCUUUUAUAUAGCAACUGGGCUGGGUUAUUUACCGCAGUGAGGGGCAACUGUUUGUCGGUUCUGCUCUCAUGGGGGUCGGGGUCAAAGCCACACAUACACACAUCUCGCCAAAGCGACGCAUUAGUGUGGGUGCCGUCGGGGUUGGUUUUGGUAGCUACACCCGGAAUUAAAAUGCAGCCGUACACCAACGCACUCAUGCAUGGCCACUAUUCAAAAUAGGGAUGCACAAGCAGAUAGCGUUCCAGCGCUAUAAGGUCACACAAUUACAGGAUGUGGACAAGCCGAGACUCGGUACUACUCGAGUGACUUAGUCCACUACGUUCAUGUGUAAGCGGGCGUGCCUUGUGGGUGCCGAGGCUCCUCCAUUGGCCUCACCGUCGGGGUUAGCUGGAGGGGGUUGAGGAACUGUAGGGUCGGGGUAGCAAUGAUGACCAUCACGGGGAUUGUUGGCCACAAUCCCAUUGGAGUGUGUUCCCAAAAGGCGACGAAGCACUUCUGGGGUCAUCAAAGUACCUUGGUUGAUGGCCGGGGCUGACCUCAAGGUCUCGAUCGGUUGCCCGAAUAGCACGACUGGGUUGUCGGCGUCGGGCUCAUCUUCUCUUCUUGCUGGGGGUCGGCAGAUCAGUUCUCCACGAGUUGCGAUCAGAUCUAGGGUGAUUUGAUCGAACAGUCCCUCUAGUGCACUUACAUAGCGCACCAGAUGCAAUAAUGCAGGAUCCGUCUCGUGGUCUCCGUUGGCAACUUGGGGUGCUCUACCAUACCCAUCACGGCUGGGGUAGUAGUAGAAGGAGCGACAGUUAACUCUGGGCGACAAGUGCCGGAGUUGAACUAUAGCCUCUCGAGCAGCUAGUUGGAUGGCUUGUGGCUCAAAGGAAGUUGUCCUUCCGGUGAACCUGUAGGGGCGUUCUGGCGAUAGACCCCUACCAUAGACGUGCACAGUGGCCCAAAAUUGACGGCUCUCACCGCUCAUGGACCCUUGGUACACAACAUAUUCUGGGGGCUCUUCUAACGCAAAGGCACGGCGGGUGAGGUUUGCUAGCACGGUCACGAAACCUCCAAGGUUGGUUGCUGUGGUCUUAUUGUGAACAAUGGGGCCAGGCAUUAUAACUCGGUUUGGGGCAGAGGCUGUGCUGGGUUGAGGCUAGCUUGCCCUUUUUAUAGAAAAAGGGGAUGGAGUCUUCCUUCGCACGCUUGCAAAAAAGACUAUUCAGGGGCCGGUCACUGGCGUGUGACUGACAGGUUAGGCUGAUAGGUUGGGCACCGACUGCCAAAAGGUGUCGGGUCACUGUGAGGCUAUCUUACACGAGAAGCUUGGCCGGGGUUUGGUUAAGGUCUGGUGGGUUGGUUUACCUAGGUUUUCGACCUGGCUAAGAUAGGAUUAGCCAAUGGUCAGCCUGGCUCUGAUACCAUGUUUGUCAGGACCGGAUUUUCGGGAUAUUAAUUUCCCAAAAGCUGCCCUUGUGCUCACCAGCCCCAGGAUUACUGUUAGCUGACGAGACAUCAACUUGUUACACAAACUCCAAGCAAACUACAAAAUAUGUAGUACAAGACCAUUCUGGCCUAUGGGUACAACAAUUGGUUUCUAGUGGUUGAUGGCGGAAGCGGUUUGCGGAUCAUCGGCGUCUAUGGGACUCCAUUUCCCACAGGAACAGCUGACCAGGAUAACUCCUAUCUUUGCGAGGCUGCUAUCAUCAUUGUGUAGGUUCCGGGGUUGUCAUCACAAUGCUCCUCUCCAUGCAAGAAAUCUGGCCAAGACAAUAGCCAGGGACAAGCCAGUGAGUACUUUGAAUGUACUCGCAAACAUUAAGAACACAGGUAUAAUAUAGCCAUUGAUAAUCAUGCUUUGAAAUAUUCUAUGAUUACUUCGUCAGUUAUGAAAUAAGUUUCAUGAUGCGCGCAAGCAGAUCAUUCAAAUAAAACAUGAGUAAACAAUCAGGGAGUAGAAGUGAAAAGCACCGAUCGGGUGUCUGAAGCGACGCCUCGAAAGGAUAAUAAUAUGAAGCAUGCCUCAGUCGGGCGUCUGAGCGACACCACAGAAAGGGGCUUAUAUAUAAAGGGAAUAACAAGCAUGCCACAGUCGGGCGUCUGUGCGACACCACAUAAAGGGCUUAUAAGUAAAUGAAAUGACAAGCAUGCCACAGUCGGGCGUCUGUGCGACACCACGUAAACGGCUUAUAAGUAAAUGAAAUAACAAGCAUGCCACAGUCGGGCGUCUGAGUGACACCUCAUAAAGGACUUAUAUAAGAAUAAUCACAGUGAAUAUCCAGGAGGUAGAACCGUCACAGGGAUACUCAAUAAUUCAAAUAACAUAAAUGGUUAGUCCAUAAUAAUAAUCAUAAUCAUCAUACGCCACAAGUCAUGAUCCAUGUUUUGGUUCAGCAGUUUUUCCUCCGAAGACCGACACUAAGACCGACACUUGACCCAUCCCAGAUUGUAGUCCUUAACCAUGGACACGGCUAUUCGAAUAGGUAUAAUAUCUCUAUAGAGGGUGUACUCUUUACCCACGAGUAACGGAUUCUUUUAGCCCAUCGGGAGUAAUUCUGUCUACGGUCUUUUAAUUGAAAACCCACCUAACCGCACACACCAGCCAAACUCACCGGUGUCUGGAAUCACCCUUGACACCCGUUAAGCAAAACUCUAAGUGGGGAGGCUACAACCUCGACUUAGCAUGGGAUCACAAAAUUUAUACCGCGCGCAAACUGGGGGAGCUACCCCCUUCGGCUACAACCGAAAACAACCAUGCCCCCGGACCAGGUGGCAUGCCUACCGGGGGCCUCCGGUAUCUUCCACCAUGGCCUCUCUGUACGGUGUGUGCUAGGAAAGGGGUUGACAACUUACUGAACUGUACCCUACCUGUGGCAGGGACAAGUGGUAGUAUGAAACAAGUAUGGGGGUUACCGGAACAAGACUCGAUCUAUGGUCGACUCAGGAGGUUUAAGUAUUUCCUGCAUGGUUAGUAUAACAAAUAUGUUUCAAACCAACAGACAGUAUCACUACUCAGCAUACCUCAUCCUGCCAUACCGGACACAACCGUCCCUACGGGGAACCAGAGAUAAGCUCGUGUCUACCCAAGACAGAGACUUUCUCGGCUUCCUUCCGGUAGGCAUAAAAGGCAUGUGAAAAUGAUUACUAUCACAACAUAUCAAGCUCCAAUAGCAUGAGAUCAUCAGUAUGCAAGUAUGAUCAUAUCCUCACAAACACAUAACGGAUACUCCGCGUCACGGUGGUGUUGUAACUGUAUCAAACAACACACGAUAAUAUUAUGCCUGAGUUCAGAAAUGCUUGCCUUCAAGUUGUGGAGAGGCAGGGUGCACUCAAAACUUUUGAAAGUUCCCUUCUUCCUCAUCCAAAAAUCCUAUUUUAAAUAAAUUUAAAUUAACACAUACUUUCACAACAGUACAAAAAAGUUGUUUGAAAUUUUUUCAAAUAAAUAUGAAAAUAAACUAGACAAUAUUUGGGAAACAACAGAAAAAGAAUCAAGUCAUUUGGAUUUAUAUUUUGAAAGUUAUAGCCAGUCAAAGUUUAGUCAAAUUAUGUUUUUAAAAUAAAACAGAAAAAGAAAACAUUUUAAAUAGGUAUACGCCUUCGGGGCAGGGGAGACGUACUCGAGACUUUACGCUUCCACUGAUCCAGCGUGGACUGGCACGUGGGUCACUGACAGUGGGUCCAUGGGGCCCACUGGUCAGGUUUGACCAGUCGCCUCUCCCUCCUCUUCCUCUUCCCGAGUGGAGGCGGGACUCCGGCGAUUGACGCUGGCGAACGACGGCUCCUCGAGGGCAUCCGAGGGCAGGGAUUGACCCGUAAGACCGGGGCGGUCCUCCCGGUGGUCGUUGGGUUGGUGGGGGUGGAGAGAGUCGCCGGCGGCGAGCUCCGCGGCGGAGGAGGCUUCGGGAGCAAUGUGGGUUUGGGCUACGGUGGUUCCCGAGCGAGUUUGAGGUGUUGGGUGGCUCCGCGAGAUCGAUGGGGAGGGGAUGGUGGCACUGGUUGGACGGGGGAGGCUCUGGUCGCGUCGAGCGGAGCCGGAGGGUGGCGGCGGCCGAGCCUGCCGGAGAUGGGGAAGAUGGCCUCCUCCCGUCGUUCUCUGUCUGUGGGGGGCACUUGGAGGAUGGUAUGAGGCUGCCUGAGGGCUUAGACGGUGGCGACGAGGUCGGUUCUGACGGUGGCCGUGGAUAAGAUCGUCGGCGACCGCCCUUCUGUAGGGGGCAGGGCGAUGUGGCGGCGACGAGAGCUAGCGGACGGCCUUGCGGAUGAGGUCGGGCUGUUCCAUGAGCGAUCUGACGCGCUGGUGUGGCUUGGGCGGUGCUGCCACGUCCGGGGCCUGCUGCGGCCGUCAGCUAGCCACCACGGCCGACCUAACGGCGGCGCUGUGGGGUGCCAGAGGUGGUCGGGAUGGCUUUGCGGUGUAGGAGGAGACGGGGCGCGCUGGCUGCGGUUGGCUAAGGGCCGGAACGGGCGCGGGGUAGGAGGUAGUGAGACGCGGCGGCUCGGUGCACGCGCGUGCAAAACGUGCGCUCUGGGCGCGCCCAGAGCACGCACGCUAGGUGUUCGGCGAAAUGCCAAGUCAUGCCAGGGGACUCCAAUCCACAAGAGGUUAAGCAGGGAGGGGCUAUAGGCUAGGGCAAAGCUAUGGGACAUGCUGGUUAGGCAAGGCAAGCAAGUCCAGUGUGCAAACUAAAAACCAUGCCAAAACUGGCCAUGCACACCAGGUGUUUGCCAGAAUGCCAAUGGCAUCAAGGCAACUCUUGGGGUGGCCCAAAUCUCCAGAUUGGGGUCUCUUUAGAUGAUAUAGAGGGUGGUGGGGUUAGUUUGCCAAAAGCUCAAACUUGUUAGUGCAAGUUUUGCAAAACUUCAGUUCUGGGCAGGAGGAAAAGGGCAUGUUUGCAUGCCUUUAAAAUCCUCCAAUGAGUCCACUCUUCUGGACUUAAGGGUUUUGCAAGGAGUACUACAAGCAGGAGAAAGCUCAUGGUCACUAGAGCAAAAUUUAAUAGGGAUGCAGUACAAAUCACCAAGCUGGACCAGAAUGAAAAAGAGGUUGAUUCACUCAAAUUUUUCAAAUAACAACAAUGGGUUUUUGCAUAAAGUUGAAUAAUAUACUCCUAUUAACAUCCCAUAAUUUUGGUGGAGGCUAGAAAUAAAUAUUUAAAGGGGUUGUAGUGCAAAAUUGCUCUCUGGGCCAGAUUUGAAAACUUGGUGUAGAGCUCAAAAUAUCCAAAGAAUGAAAUAUAUUUUUGCAUAAAAGUGAUUUAAAAACAUCACAUGACCUCCCCAAAUUUUGGUGAAAAUUUUAAAUAAAUUUAUCAAGUGGUUGUAGUUCAAAAAGAGCUCCAAAACUAAUGAAAAAUCAUUUUAGGGAAUAAAGCUCAGAGAGGAAUAAUUAUGCAAGUAAAUCCCACUGAUAAUAGAAAUGUUUUUCUUGAAAGGGAAAACAAUUCCAAUAAUAUAUUUGGAAAGUUUUCCACUUGAGGUAAAAACUCCAUAAUAAUAAGGUAAAGAAAGGCCCUGAAAACAAAGGAAAAAUCCAAAAAAUAAAAGUUUUAAUUUCUUGGCAAAAAAUUUAAUCAAUAAAACAAGGGUAAAAAUUUUGGGGUGUCACAGUCGGGUUGCGGCGUAUUGUUUGGCCAAGGCCGGGCAUGACCCAGGAAAGUGUGUCCGGCCGGAGUUAAUCGAGCGUGGUGGGUAAGUUGGUGCACCCCUGCAGGAAAGAAAACAUCUAUCGAUAGCAUGUCCUACGGUAACGGACACUUGGAGUUGUAUCCCGAUCGAUACAACUAGAACUGGAUACUUGUGAUGAGAACUGGACGAUGAUGAGAAUUGGAAUGUGUUGACACUUGGAUAGUAUGGCUCUGGGAUUGCUUUCUCGCAGGGAGUCGAGAAAGGAUCUUUGGCCGAGGUUGAUAACACUUCUACUACUUUACUUUAUGCUACUCUACUCCCUCCUGUUGCUGCAAGAUGGUGGUUUCCAGAAGAUGCUAUUCUUUGAUAGGCUAGGCUUUCCCCUUCCCUUCUGGCAUUCUGCAGUUUAGUCCAUAGAUUCAACCCAUUCCUUUGAUACAGAUGCAUACUUAGUUUAGAGCAGUCACCAUCCUCUCCCCUCUCUCGCGUAGGCCGCCUCACUCUCUAGCUUGCUUGCCGCUACCAUCGUAGCUCGCCGCCGCCCCGCUCCAUAGCCGCCGUGGCCAUGCUUGCCGCCGAGCUCUGUCGAGCACGGCACCGUGCCCAGCACGCUUCGAGCAGCCCAACGCACCUUGCCGCGCCUCCUCCCGUGCCUCUUAGCAUGAUCACCGUCCGCGCCCGAAGCCGCCGUCGCCGCCUUUGCUCAUCGCCGACGCCUCUGCAGGCCACCUUCGCCCGUUCCGACGCUGUAGAUUGACGCGCGGAGGAGUACCUGUUCGAACACAGGCAAAACCGUGCGAAACGGUGUCCCGUAGCACCAUCCCCAUCGUCGCCCGAGCGCGACCGCCGCCCUCGUUGCUCGUCGGCGCCGCUGCGGCCAACUCCGACGACCCCACCGCCCCUAGUCGACGCGCCUUCGUGCGCUCGUUCGAACGCGCCUAGACACACCUCUCCCUGUGCCCCAUAGCGAUUUUCCGGCGAAGUCCGGCAAUGCUCCGCCGCAUUGAGCUCGUCAGAGCCAACUCUGGCGCCGUCCACCGACGUGGCUGGCCGGCCCCACCCCUGGGUCGCUGCCAGCGGGCCCCACGAGCCCCGUUGACUAGGUUGGCCCAGUCAAUGUGCUGACUGGGCAGCCCAGUGGCGCUGACAUGCGGGCCCCACCGCAUAAUUAUUUUACCUAAAACAUUUUUAUAAAUAAAAUCAAUUAGUUAGAUAAAUGAGGCACUGAUAGGUGGGGUCCAGUAGUUAACUAACCUAAUUUUAGUUAGUUUAAACUUCUGUUAGUACAGUGUCUAUGACAGUAGGACCCACUGGUCAGUUUGACCUGGUCAGCCGCUUUGUUGACUGCUGAGGUCAUCAUCACGUCAUGCUGACGUCAUAUUCCUUUUCUGUUAUUAUAAAUAAAUCUAGAAAAUGGUUUAAUCUUUGAAAAAUCAUAGAAAUUAAACCGUAACUCCGAUGAAAAUGUUUUCUACAUGAAAGUUGCUCAGAAAAAUCCAACGAAUCCGGAUAUGUGGUCCGUUCAUCUAUCACAUGCCCCUAGCAUGCUGGACAUGGAACUUUCCCCCUCUUUUCCUGUGUCCGAAAUCCGCCUAACGCCGGGAAUUCAUCCUUGGAUGUUUAUGCCCUCUGUCUGCAGCGUGUAGUACUACGUUAGGUCAAUCCUAAUUCUGCUUAUCGUCAUGUCAUGCUUAGUAUUGCAUCUGUUUGCUUGUAUUUACUGUUUCUUCCCCCUCUUCUCCCCGGUAGCCCCCGAGACUGAUGACGCCCCUGUGAUCAACUACGUCGACGACACUUCUUCUUUUUCAACAGAGCUUCAGGCAAGCAAACCCCCCUUGAGCAUUCCGAUAUCGCCCAUUUCUUUCCCUCUCAUGCUUGCAUUAGAACUGCUACUGCUUUCUGUACGAUCCUACUCUGAUGCAUAGCUUGUUGUUGUUACCUGCUUUCAUACCUUACUUGCUUAUCCUAAACUGCUUAGUAUAGGUUGGUUAGUGAUCCAUCAGUGACCCCACCUUGUCCCAGUUGCCUCGCUUUAUAUUCGAUGACUCGGUCAACGUGAUCGACGUCCAGGCCCCGGCAUCGCACAUCACCCCCCUAGUUGUACGACUCUGUAGAGUUACCAUCAAGUGCCAAGGGUGGAACCUCUUACAUCACUCAUGAUGAGAUCUCUAUAGUGUAGCUAUCCGGUCAUGGUCAUCGAGGGUGAUUUCCUCCUUAAUUACUUCCGAUAUGGCAGUGGCGUGCAACCCCUCAAGUGUGAACCUCGAGGGUGAAUCCUCUUACAUUUACCUUGAUGAUUACAUCGAGUGGAAUUCACCAGGGGUGAUUCCUUGGGUUUUCCCCUUGGUGUUAGACACACAGUUACUAUGGUUACUAUGACUUUGCACUAAGCCAUGCUACUAAAGACGGGUCGGCCCUGAGGGGUACCCGCGCGAGCUUAAUAGCGAGUGAUGUGGAGUCGGGUUGACCUGGAAGGUGCCCGCGAGAUACUUACGAGGCGUGGCCGGGCAUUCUUAGCCCUUGCCGCAAGUACCCGAGACGGGGCAACGGGGUCACAUCUUUCGUGAGUCUCUGCUUGUUACCGCGUGCUCCUAAUCCACUACGAUUUGGAUAUUUGAUCCGAGGGCCUCUGGCCUGAUAGCACUAACCAUCACAUGGGCAUAGUAUGGGAAUUCUGCGUCGUAUACAUCAGCCGAAGCUUAAUAGACUUCAGCGACUGAGCGGCGCGUGUCGGGUUGGACUCCGUAAGCUGCUGCCUUCUUGAAGGAGGUAGCUAGGUCUGCUCAUCGGCCGCCCACGCGACGUGCAUGAGUUCCCGGGGCGAUGGCCCAUGACCCCUGGGGGCAUAGGCUUAGUCCGGCGUGUUGACCUCUCUAUUAAGCCUAGGUCGGGUUGCGGCGUAUUGUUUGGCCGAGGUCGGGCAUGACCUAGGAAAGUGUGUCCGGCCGGAGUUAAUCGAGCGUGGUGGGUAAGUUGGUGCACCCCUGCAGGGAAGAAAACAUCUAUCGAUAGCAUGUCCUACGGUAACGGACACUUGGAGUUGUAUCCCGAUCGAUACACCUAGAACUGGAUACUUGUGAUGAGAACUGGAUGGUGAUGAGAAUUGGAAUGUGUUGACACUUGGAUAGUAUGGCUCUGGGAUUGCUUUCUCGCAGGGAGUCGAGAAAGGAUCUAUGGCCGAGGUUGAUAACACUUCUACUACUUUACUUUAUGCUACUCUACUCCCUCAUGUUACUGCAAGAUGGUGGUUUCCAGAAGAUGCUAGUCCUCGAUAGGCUAGGCUUUCCCCUUCCCUUCUGGCAUUCUGCAGUUUAGUCCACAGAUUCAACCCAUUCCUUUGAUACAGAUGCAUACUUAGUUUAGAUCUGAUGUAAGUCUUGCGAGUAUUUUGGAUGAGUACUCACGGUUGCUUUGCUACUUCUUUUUCCCCAUACCCGAUUGUUGCGACCAGAUGAUGGAUCCCAGGAGCCAGACGACGCCACUGAUGACUUCUACUACCCGGAGGAUGCCUACUACUACGUGAAGACCGCAGACGACUAGGAGUAGUCAGGAGGCUCCCAGGCAGGAGGCUUUUCGAUCAUUGUUGCUUUUGUGCUAGCCUUCUUAAGGCAAACUUGUCUAACUUAUGUCUGUACUCAGAUAUUGUUGCUUCCGCUGACUCUUGUGUAUUCGAGCUUAUGUAUUCGAGCCCUCGAGGCCCCUGGCUUGUAAUAUAAAGCUUGUAUUAUUUUAAUUUGUGUCUAGAGUUGUGUUGUGAUAUCUUCCUGUGAGUCCUUGAUCUUGAUCGUACACAUUUGCAUGUAUGAUUAGUGUACAAUUAAUCGAGGGCGUCACAGUGUUUCAACUGAUCCAACCAAGGUGGCAGCAGUUGCAGAUUGGCCACUACCUACUACACCAACAUAACUUCGAGGAUUCUUGGGUUCAUGUGGCUAUUAUAGGAGAUUUGUCAAUUUUUUUGGAACAAUUGCAAGACCACUGCAUGAUGUACUUAGGAAGGACAGUUUCCAGUGGACACCAACUCAAACCCUAGCCUUUCAGGAUUUAAAACAAGCAAUGAUCAGUGCCCCAGUGCUUGCACUUCCCAACUUCUUUGAACCUUUCACUUUGGAAACAGAUGCUUCUCGAGGAUACUUAAUGUUCCCGGGCGACCUCCGCGGUUUGCGUGGGGCCACAGUACCUGUGUCGUUGGAGGUACAAAAGCGAUAGUGCUUGGAGGACAAACUGGAGAAGAGUGGAUGCUCACCGAAGUACAUGAGCUCUCUCUGGCUAGUAGUAACUCUGUUUGAAGUCUAUAUAAAGGUCUUUCAACCAAGCUUCCAUGAAAACAAAUGAGACCUUUCAAGUGGCGUUAAGCUUGAUUGUCUUCACCACCGGGCGGGGGCACUGAAUGUUUGGCGCCAUGAAUGGAUGUAUUUGCUCGGAAGUGAGAUAUGGUUGGGUCUCAAGUAAAGAUUAAACCUCUUAAACCGGGGUUGCUCGCUUUAUGUAGCUAAUGGGUAGUGAUAUGUUUUUUUCUCUCUUGUUGCUGUUUGUUUGGUCUUUUACCAGAUAAGUAUAAUUCAUAAGCUACUCUCAUGGAAUGAGUAUCAGUUUUAUGUAUUCUCAGACUAUUCUGACAUCCAUUCUGUUAGGAUAAAAAAGGACUACUCUGUACAGAUGAGCCCUCUCUUGUAUUCUGUGAAACUGUGAUAGUUAUGAGAUGUAUGGAUGGUCUUGGAUCAAUCCUCUUUUUUUGUUAAGACAUGUAACAGGCUGUAGCAAGUUUUCCU
rnacentral:lncRNA from 1 species